CCCCCCCCCAAAUUCUAUACGUACACAAAACCUAAAUCAAACCCCACCAAGUUCAGGAGAUCUCCACCAUAUCUCCGGCGUGUGUUCGCCACGACCAUCGCCAAUUCCAACUUCCACAAACCCUAACUAGUUUUAGUUACCACUUAUCAUUAACGCUCUCCUCUGAUCUACUCUCCUCCGCAUCCUAAAUUAAGCGUAUGAUUCAGUUUGAAGCAAGCUAGAAUGGGAUUACUCGGAUCAAUUUUCACUUUCCUCCUCCUUCGGAUGCAGGCGGGCUAAUUCGAAAACAUCUUCUGUGGAGACUCUAAGAGAUCUAAAGUCAAAUGGGUGUAUGACCAGAUGCCCGAGCCAAGGUGGUGAUACUACCACUACUCAUACUCUGUUGGUAAGAGGUUGGGAUAGGAUCGUCCCGGUUGGCACCUAUGUCCCUGGUUGCCCAUCGACAGCCAACGCGCUCUUAUAUGGGCUUCUCUAGCUGCAGAAAAAGAUCAACCGACCCAAGGACUUCCAUCAUUGGUGGUCCAAGUGAGGUUGGAUGUCCUUGCUGACUGAGGCUGUUAUGAGGAUAAUAGAGGUCAAGACUACUAGGAAGCCAAAGAGAAGAUUAUUCAGGUUCUGUUGGCCGCGGCUUCAUAUUCUUUUAGAAGGGGAUGGGGCAAAGGGUUGUGGUUCUAUUGUUGUGUGAGUUUUGGUGUCCAUACAGGUUCUGAAAGGGUGGGAGGGGUGUGUUUUGGUGUGUGUUUAACUGGGCUGCGGUUAAUAUUUGGUAUAUAGUGUGUUGGUACUAGCAACUUAGUUCCCGGAUGUUCAUUUCUAGUAUAUGCGUUCUUUUUCAUGUUAAUUUCAUUUCGGGUGGGAACCUUUAUUCCAAAAGCUUUAGUGGUGUAGUGGGUCAAGAUGGCCGAGGCAUAAAGUCUAGACUAUGUUGAGGACAAAAAGAAAGCUAUAGCUGGAAAUAAGGUUUUUUAAUGAAGAGAUUCAGAGGAUAUGAAGUAUUCAGAAGGAUAUAUAGUGUGGUUGAAGGAAGAGAGAAGGUUUACAAGAGGAACCCAAGUUAUAAGAUGUGUAUGUACAGAUGUAGUUAAAGCAGCAACAGUUUAGUAUUCCUAAGUGUCCAAUAUGUGUUCCCAGUUUAGCAUUCUUUUAUUUAUUAAUCUUUAGUAAGUUGUUUACAAAUA